AGAGUUUGAUCCUGGCUCAGAUUGAACGCUGGCGGCAUGCCUUACACAUGCAAGCCGAACGGCAGCACGGGAGCAAUCCUGGUGGCGAGUGGCGAACGGGUGAGUAAUGUAUCGGAACGUACCUUUCAGUGGGGGAUAACGUAGCGAAAGUUACGCUAAUACCGCAUAUUCUGUGAGCAGGAAAGCAGGGGAUCGCAAGACCUUGCGCUGAUUGAGCGGCCGAUAUCAGAUUAGCUAGUUGGUGAGGUAAAGGCUCACCAAGGCGACGAUCUGUAGCGGGUCUGAGAGGAUGAUCCGCCACACUGGAACUGAGACACGGUCCAGACUCCUACGGGAGGCAGCAGUGGGGAAUUUUGGACAAUGGGGGCAACCCUGAUCCAGCCAUGCCGCGUGAGUGAAGAAGGCCUU
rnacentral:rRNA from 1 species